CCCUUAGAUGUUCUGGGCCGCACGCGCGCUACACUGAUGCGUUCAACAAGUUUCCUUGGCCGAGAGGCCUGGGCAAUCUUCUUAAUAUGUAUCGUGAUAGGGAUAGAUUAUUGCAAUUAUUAAUCUUGAACGAGGAAUUCCUAGUAAACGCAGAUCAUCAAUCUGCAUUGAUUACGUCCCUGCCCUUUGUACACACCGCCCGUCGCACCUACCGAUUGGAUGUUCCGGUGAAGCCUCGGGAUGAGGACUGGUGCCUUUAUUGGCAUGAGUUGUACAGAACUUGUCUAAACCUUAUCAUCUAGAGGAAGGUGAAGUCGUAACA
rnacentral:rRNA from 1 species